CAUCCUGGCAGCAGGUGUCCCUGGAUUCAGAGAGAAGAUACAAGAUGACAUUGGUAUAAGAAAUCUCUGCGGUUGCACUGGGUUCAGUUACAUGGUACCACAGUUAACACACAUCAUAUAGUCAUUUAUAGCAUUGCUGUGUUCACCGAACAACACAAUUCCUUAGCCCCACAACUGUUCAACAUUCUCAACUACCCAACAUGUCUAGAUUUAGCAAGUUCUUGUAGGUUUUGAUGGCGAUUUUGUGAGUCCUUACUGUCAAUGGGUUUCCAGCGUCCAUAUGAAUAGAUUUUUAUGCUUUUGUGGGUAGGUUUGCUGUCUGCUUUGGUCUAACCUCGACUCUAACCAUAUUCGUCUCUCCUGAUUUUGCUAUCUCCUUAGGCCUCAAUUUCAUCUAGCUAUUCUUUGAUUUUUGGGCAUUUUGCCUUUCUCCUUGACAUGCCAUCCUUUUGAUAUAAAAUUGAAGGGUAAAUUACAAAAUAGUCGCUAAAGUAUGUCAAAAACCACAAGUCAGUUAUUGUACUUUUUACAAGUAACAAUUUAGUCCCUAAGGUUUCAUUCCAUCAACAGAACAGUCUCUUCAUCCAAGUUACAGUUAAUUUGAAACAAUUACAUCCAUCAAAUUUUGUUUUGUUAAUAAAAUGGUCCUCCAUCUAAAUUUUA
rnacentral:misc_RNA from 1 species